GAUGCAGCCAUGCCGCGUGUGUGAAGAAGGCCUUCGGGUUGUAAAGCACUUUCAGCGGGGAGGAAGGCGUUAAGGUUAAUAACCUUGGCGAUUGACGUUACCCGCAGAAGAAGCACCGGCUAACUCCGUGCCAGCAGCCGCGGUAAUACGGAGGGUGCAAGCGUUAAUCGGAAUUACUGGGCGUAAAGCGCACGCAGGCGGUCUGUCAAGUCGGAUGUGAAAUCCCCGGGCUCAACCUGGGAACUGCAUUCGAAACUGGCAGGCUAGAGUCUUGUAGAGGGGGGUAGAAUUCCAGGUGUAGCGGU
rnacentral:rRNA from 1 species